GGGACCAGGGAGAGAAAGAAGCUUCUCUCCUGGGCCCAUGGCCCCCUGGCCUUCCCCGGGGACAGGCCCGGAGACGUUGUGAAAUCUUCUCACCCCCAAGCGGUGGCUGGGAAGCUUCAAAUGUUUUUUUAGGCCUUUCCAGCAUAAAAGCAAAAAUUGAUGAGUUUCAGUGGCAUAAGCUCUGAGGCACAAAGGAAAAACCCCCAAGGUGGUGGGUGUGAGGAGGAAACUUUUUAUUGUCUUGCUGUGGAUUUUUUUCUUUCAUUUUUCUUUUCUUUUCCUUUGCUAGUCUCUUUAUUAAGUCAAGAUGUUAUAUGAAGGCACCAGUUAAAUAUUACAGGCAAGCUUCUUAAAGGAACCCUUUCCUCCUCUGUUACAGAUGGGUCUCUAGUUUGGCCGUGUUCCUAUCUCCAUUCCUCUUCCUCUCUUCUCCCUCCUCCCAAGUCUUCUCUCACCUUUUUUUUUUUCCCCCAGGGGAAACAUAAGGAAACACUUCAAUGACAAAUUCUAAGAAGGUCAUACCUUACCUUCCAAGAACUUUAGCUACUGAUCCUGCGGCUUCACAAGCAUACCCUCCUUUUACUGGGAAAGUCUUUGCGCGAGGAAUUUCAAGCUUGGUUCAAGGAGUUCCCACACUGGAGAAGAUGGUCCCAUCAAUCCAGGUAACUUGGUAUUUGGGGAUCUUCUCCCCAGAGGUGCUCCCUCCCGCCAGCACAUUUCCUUAUCACCGCCUGUAGUGAAUGUAACACCCAGGCAUCUCCCCAGACCUCACCGUUAACCCACCUUCAGCAGUGAAAUAUCAGAUGCUGUGCCUGAUGCUAUGGAGAUUUUUUUUUUUAGUAUAAAGAUAAUUCCUGACCUCAUUUGACUACAUUUUAGACGCCAUGUACGUCCAUAUCUUAUAUCCAUCUUACGAGCCAUUCAACGUUGUGUAACUCUCUUCAGAGCUAUAUUGUAGUUAGAAUUCUGUUUUCAUUCAUUCAUUACUUAACUUACUUAUUUUCUAAUGAUGCUUAUUUUUAUGUUUAUUUACUUUUUAAGGCAACACCUUCAGCAUAUGGAAGUUCCCAGGCUAGGGGUCAAAUCGGAGCUACAGCUGCCAGCCUACACCACAGCCACAGCAAUGCCAGAUCUGAGCUGCAUCUGAGACCUACACCUAUACUGGAUCCUUAACCCACUGAAUGAGGCCAGGGAUUGAACCCACAUCCUCGUGGUUACUAGUCAGGUUCUUAACCUACUGAACCACUAAGGGAACUCCCUUACUUAUUUACUAUUGAAGAUGUACAAAAUGCCAGGCACUGCUUCUAGGGGCUAGGAAUCAGUGGUG
rnacentral:lncRNA from 1 species